UACGGGGGGGGCAAGCGUUGUUCGGAAUUACUGGGCGUAAAGGGCUCGUAGGCGGCCAACUAAGUCAGACGUGAAAUCCCUCGGCUUAACCGGGGAACUGCAUCUGAUACUGAAGAUCUUGAGUUCGGGAGAGGUGAGUGGAACUGCGAGUGUAGAGGUGAAAUUCGUAGAUAUUCGCAAGAACACCAGUGGCGAAGGCGGCUCACUGGCCCGAUACUGACGCUGAGGCACGAAAGCGUGGGGAGCAAACAGG
rnacentral:rRNA from 1 species